AAAAAAAAAAAAAAAAAAAUUAGCUGGCAAAUUCUGUGGCAGUUUUAAAAAGUUAAGCUGCUAUAGUAAGUUACUGGGCAUUCUCAAUACUUGAAUAUGGAACAUAUGCACAGGGGAAGGAAAUAACAUUGCACUUUAUAAACACUGUAUUGUAAGUGGAAAAUGCAAUGUCUUAAAUAAAACUAUUUAAAAUUGGCACCAUAAAAAAAGAAACCUUAAAAAUGAUUUCAUUCGAUUAUCAAUAACUUUGAUUAUACCAAAGUUAUCAAAAACGAUUCAACUUUCAAACUAAAAUGAUAAAAUGAAGAUUACAAUUGGACAAAUUUUGGCUCAAAACUAAGCCCCUGAUUUUCUGCCCUGUUACUUCAAACCUCC
rnacentral:lncRNA from 1 species